UUAAGCGACUAAGCGUACACGGUGGAUGCCCUGGCAGUCAGAGGCGAUGAAGGACGUGCUAAUCUGCGAAAAGCGUCGGUAAGGUGAUAUGAACCGUUAUAGCCGGCGAUGUCCGAAUGGGGAAACCCAGUGCAAUUCGUUGCACUAUCGUUAACUGAAUACAUAGGUUAACGAGGCGAACCGGGGGAACUGAAACAUCUAAGUACCCCGAGGAAAAGAAAUCAACCGAGAUUCCCCCAGUAGCGGCGAGCGAACGGGGAGCAGCCCAGAGUCUGAAUCAGCUUGUGUGUUAGUGGAACGGUCUGGAAAGUCCGACGGUACAGGGUGAUAGUCCCGUACACCAAAAUGCACAGGUUGUGAACUCGAAGAGUAGGGCGGGACACGUGGUAUCCUGUCUGAAUAUGGGGGGACCAUCCUCCAAGGCUAAAUACUCCUGACUGACCGAUAGUGAACCAGUACCGUGAGGGAAAGGCGAAAAGAACCCCGGCGAGGGGAGUGAAAAAGAACCUGAAACCGUGUACGUACAAGCAGUGGGAGCACCUUCGGGUGUGACUGCGUACCUUUUGUAUAAUGGGUCAGCGACUUAUAUUCUGUAGCAAGGUUAACCGUAUAGGGGAGCCGCAGGGAAACCGAGUCUUAACUGGGCGUUAAGUUGCAGGGUAUAGACCCGAAACCCGGUGAUCUAGCCAUGGGCAGGUUGAAGGUUGGGUAACACUAACUGGAGGACCGAACCGACUAAUGUUGAAAAAUUAGCGGAUGACUUGUGGCUGGGGGUGAAAGGCCAAUCAAACCGGGAGAUAGCUGGUUCUCCCCGAAAGCUAUUUAGGUAGCGCCUCGUGAAUUCAUCUUCGGGGGUAGAGCACUGUUUCGGCUAGGGGGUCAUCCCGACUUACCAACCCGAUGCAAACUACGAAUACCGAAGAAUGUUAUCACGGGAGACACACGGCGGGUGCUAACGUCCGUCGUGAAGAGGGAAACAACCCAGACCGCCAGCUAAGGUCCCAAAGUCAUGGUUAAGUGGGAAACGAUGUGGGAAGGCACAGACAGCCAGGAUGUUGGCUUAGAAGCAGCCAUCAUUUAAAGAAAGCGUAAUAGCUCACUGGUCGAGUCGGCCUGCGCGGAAGAUGUAACGGGGCUAAACCAUGCACCGAAGCUGCGGCAGCGACACUAUGUGUUGUUGGGUAGGGGAGCGUUCUGUAAGCCUGCGAAGGUGACCUGUGAGGGUUGCUGGAGGUAUCAGAAGUGCGAAUGCUGACAUAAGUAACGAUAAAGCGGGUGAAAAGCCCGCUCGCCGGAAGACCAAGGGUUCCUGUCCAACGUUAAUCGGGGCAGGGUGAGUCGACCCCUAAGGCGAGGCCGAAAGGCGUAGUCGAUGGGAAACAGGUUAAUAUUCCUGUACUUGGUGUUACUGCGAAGGGGGGACGGAGAAGGCUAUGUUAGCCGGGCGACGGUUGUCCCGGUUUAAGCAUGUAGGCUGAUUAUCCAGGCAAAUCCGGAUAAUCAAGGCUGAGGUGUGAUGACGAGGCACUACGGUGCUGAAGUAACAAAUGCCCUGCUUCCAGGAAAAGCCUCUAAGCAUCAGGUAACAUCAAAUCGUACCCCAAACCGACACAGGUGGUCAGGUAGAGAAUACCAAGGCGCUUGAGAGAACUCGGGUGAAGGAACUAGGCAAAAUGGUGCCGUAACUUCGGGAGAAGGCACGCUGGUGUGUAGGUGAAGUCCCUGCGGAUGGAGCUGAGACCAGUCGAAGAUACCAGCUGGCUGCAACUGUUUAUUAAAAACACAGCACUGUGCAAACACGAAAGUGGACGUAUACGGUGUGACGCCUGCCCGGUGCCGGAAGGUUAAUUGAUGGGGUUAUCCGUAAGGAGAAGCUCUUGAUCGAAGCCCCGGUAAACGGCGGCCGUAACUAUAACGGUCCUAAGGUAGCGAAAUUCCUUGUCGGGUAAGUUCCGACCUGCACGAAUGGCGUAAUGAUGGCCAGGCUGUCUCCACCCGAGACUCAGUGAAAUUGAACUCGCUGUGAAGAUGCAGUGUACCCGCGGCAAGACGGAAAGACCCCGUGAACCUUUACUAUAGCUUGACACUGAACAUUGAGCCUUGAUGUGUAGGAUAGGUGGGAGGCUUUGAAGCGUGGACGCCAGUCUGCGUGGAGCCAACCUUGAAAUACCACCCUUUAAUGUUUGAUGUUCUAACGUUGGCCCCUGACCGGGGUUGCGGACAGUGUCUGGUGGGUAGUUUGACUGGGGCGGUCUCCUCCCAAAGCGUAACGGAGGAGCACGAAGGUUAGCUAAUCCUGGUCGGACAUCAGGAGGUUAGUGCAAUGGCAUAAGCUAGCUUGACUGCGAGCGUGACGGCGCGAGCAGGUGCGAAAGCAGGUCAUAGUGAUCCGGUGGUUCUGAAUGGAAGGGCCAUCGCUCAACGGAUAAAAGGUACUCCGGGGAUAACAGGCUGAUACCGCCCAAGAGUUCAUAUCGACGGCGGUGUUUGGCACCUCGAUGUCGGCUCAUCACAUCCUGGGGCUGAAGUAGGUCCCAAGGGUAUGGCUGUUCGCCAUUUAAAGUGGUACGCGAGCUGGGUUUAGAACGUCGUGAGACAGUUCGGUCCCUAUCUGCCGUGGGCGCUGGAGAAUUGAGGGGGGCUGCUCCUAGUACGAGAGGACCGGAGUGGACGCAUCACUGGUGUUCGGGUUGUCAUGCCAAUGGCACUGCCCGGUAGCUAAAUGCGGAAGAGAUAAGUGCUGAAAGCAUCUAAGCACGAAACUUGCCCCGAGAUGAGUUCUCCCUGAGACUUUAAGUCUCCUGAAGGAACGUUGAAGACGACGACGUUGAUAGGCCGGGUGUGUAAGCGCAGCGAUGCGUUGAGCUAACCGGUACUAAUGAACCGUGAGGCUUAACCUU
rnacentral:rRNA from 1 species